rnacentral:rRNA from 1 species
GACGAACGCUGGCGGCGUGCCUAAUACAUGCAAGUUGAGCGAUGAAGAUUGGUGCUUGCACCAAUUUGAAGAGCAGCGAACGGGUGAGUAACGCGUGGGGAAUCUGCCUUUGAGCGGGGGACAACAUUCGGAAACGAAUGCUAAUACCGCAUAAUAACUUUAAACAUAAGUUUCAAGUUUGAAAGAUGCAAUUGCAUCACUCAAAGAUGAUCCCGCGUUGUAUUAGCUAGUUGGUGAGGUAAAGGCUCACCAAGGCGAUGAUACAUAGCCGACCUGGGAAGGUGGACGGCCAAAUUGGGACUGAGAAACGGCCCAAGCUCCUACGGGGGGCAGCAGGAGGGAAACUUCGGCAAUUGAGGGAAGGCUUACCGAGCAACGCCGCGGGAGAGAAGGAGGGUUUCGGAUCGUAAAACUCUGUUGGUAGAGAAGAACGUUGGUGAGAGUGGAACGCUCAGCAAGUGACGGUAACGACCCAGAAAGGGACGGCUAACUACGUG